GGUGAGAUGGCCGAGCGGUCUAAGGCGCCAGACUAAGGAUCAGUUCGCACUGCGAACACAUCUUGUACUCAUCCGAGGCAAUCUGGUCCGAAAGGGCGUGGGUUCGAAUCCCACUCUCAUCA
rfam:Coniophora puteana RWD-64-598 SS2 unplaced genomic scaffold CONPTscaffold_5, whole genome shotgun sequence.